UACAGAGGUCUCAAGCGUUGUUCGGAUUCAUUGGGCGUAAAGCGCGUGUAGGCGGUCCGGUAAGUCCGCUGUGAAAGUCGGGGGCUCAACCCUCGAAUGCCGGUGGAUACUGUCGGGCUAGAGUGCGGAAGAGGCGAGUGGAAUUCCUGGUGUAGCGGUGAAAUGCGCAGAUAUCAGGAGGAACACCUAUUGCGAAGGCAGCUCGCUGGGACGUAACUGACGCUGAGACGCGAAAGCGUGGGGAGCAAACAGG
rnacentral:rRNA from 1 species